GCAGCCAUGCAUUUAAAGAGUGCGUAACAGCUCACUGGUCAAGUGGACAUGCGCCGACAAUUCACGGGGCUAAGCAUGGUACCGAAGCGGCGGACUAAUCUAUAUUAGUGGUAGGGGAGCUUUCCCCGCAGCGGAGAAGCCGAGAGGGCGACCCUCGGUGGAGCGCGGGGAAGUGAGAAUGCUGGCAUGAGUAACGAGAGCGGCGCGAGAAACGCCGCCGCCGUAAGCCUAAGGGUUCCUGGGCAAGGCUAAUCCUCCCAGGGUCAGUCGGGAGCUAAGGCGAGGCCGAGAGGCGUAGCCGAUGCGCAACAGGCGGACAUUCCUGUACCGCCUGCGGACCGCUAUCACCGACGGGGUGACGGAGAAGGGUAGCCGAGCGGGGUUCUGGACGUCCCCGUGAAAGCGCGUAGGGAGCAUCGCAUGGAAAUCAGCGGCGCAUAUAUCCUGAGACGCGAGACGAAAGCUUAUGCUGAAGUCGGCGAGCCCAUGCUUCCGAGAAAAACCUCUAGGAAGGGACGCAGGCGCCCGUACCAAAACCGACACAGGUGGGCAGGUAGAGCAUACCGAGGCGAUCGGGAGAACCAUGGUUAAGGAACUCGGCAUACUGACUCCGUAACUUCGGGAGAAGGAGUGCCCCUGGCGGUGACGGGACUAGCUCCCCGAGCGGCCGGGGGUCGCAGCGAAACGGCCCAAGCGACUGUUUAUCAAAAACACAGGACUCUGCAAAGCCGUAAGGCGACGUAUAGGGUCUGACGCCUGCCCGGUGCUGGAAGGUUACGCGGAUGGGUCAGCCGCAAGGCGAAGCUCUGAAGCCAAGCCCCAGUAAACGGCGGCCGUAACUAUAACGGUCCUAAGGUAGCGAAAUUCCUUGUCGGGUAAGUUCCGACCUGCACGAAUGGCGUAACGAUUUGGGCGCUGUCUCAACCAUGGACCCGGUGAAAUUGUAUUAUUCGUGAAGAUGCGAAUUACCUGCGGAAGGACGGAAAGACCCCGUGAACCUUUACUGCAGCUUGACAUUGAUCGUUGGCUCGGCGCGUAGAGGAUAGGCAGGAGGCUGCGAAGCCCGGGCGCCAGCCCGGGCGGAGCCGACCUUGGAAUACUGCCCUCGUCGCGUCGGCGAUCUAACCCCCGGCCGUGAUCCGGCGGGGGGACCGUGUCAGGUGGGUAGUUUGACUGGGGCGGUCGCCUCCCAAAACGUAACGGAGGCGCGCAAAGGUCCGCUCAGAACGGUCGGCAACCGUUCGCAGAGCGCAAGAGUACAAGCGGGCUUGACUGCGAGGCCCACAAGCCGAGCAGAGACGAAAGUCGGUUCUAGUGAUCCGGCGGCACAGAGUGGAAUGGCCGUCGCUCAACGGAUAAAAGGUACUCCGGGGAUAACAGGCUGAUCUU
rnacentral:rRNA from 1 species